CAUCUUUUUUCAGUAUUUAGGAUGGUAGAACUCCAAUGUUUGAGAGCCCUCCUCAUGCUCCUCAAUCUCAAAACCAUGUUUGUAGUAGCAUCAUCAGAAAAGGGGACUAAUUUCCAAGCUUGAUUAACAAUAUCAAAGAGAGAAGGACAAAAUAGUCAGCUUUUAUUGAACUUAAAUGACCCCUUUCCAGUAAUCCUACCCUCCUAAGAUAGGAGGAUGGGAGUGUGAUCAGAGCAAGAAUUUGGGAGAGCCAAUUGAGAGGAGUUUGGAUGCAAAGUAUCCUAUUCAGUAGAGAUUAGGAAGCUAUCUAGCUUUGCUAAAAUCAAAGAACUUUGAUGAUAUACUUCAAGUGCACUAUUGAUUUUUUGAAGGGAGGUUAAUGCGGUUGAAGGUUCGGAUGAAAUUGUAGAAAUCAUUUGCAACUCUCCUAGGCUGUGGGUUACCAUUUCUUUCAAAAGAUUUGUAUGUGGCAUUGAAGUCUCCACCAAUUGCCCAAGGUCCAGGAUAAGAUCCCCUUAUUCUAUUUAGCUCUUCUCAAAAAGAAGAUUUUUUAUCAUGGUCCACUGAGCCAUAAACCACUAUAAAACUUCAAGUAGUAUUUAGGGGCAGAUCAAACUAGUGAGCAGUGAUAGAGAAAGAGAGAGAUCACUUUUGGUUAGAUUAAAUCUUGUUGAUGUCCAACCCAAGAGGAUGCCACCUUGGGUAUCAUAAGCAUUUAGAGAAAGUCAAGAAUUUAUCUACCCACCUUCAAGAGAGUGAAGAAUAAAAAAGGGUUGCAGAGUCAAUUUUUGAUUCUUGGAGGUUAGCGACACAACAAGUCAAAAAAGAAAUGGUUUCUUUAAUAGCCCUUCUCUUGGUUGGAUCACCAAGACUUCUAACAUUCCAAGAUAAUAUAGCCAUUUCAAAGAAGAAGAGAAAGCAGACACAAAGGAAGAUUUAGUGAAGGAAAAGAAAAAUCCCCAUAU
rnacentral:lncRNA from 1 species